rnacentral:rRNA from 1 species
CCUANGGGUGGCAGCAACUAGGAAUAUUGCGCAAUGGGCGAAAGCCUGACGCAGCGACGCCGCGUGCGGGAUGAAGGCCUUAGGGUCGUAAACCGCUGUGGAGAGGGAAAAUAAUGAUGGUACCUCUCUAGAAAGCACCUGCUAACUACGUGCCAGAAGCCUCGGUGAUACGUAGGGUGCAAGCAUUAUCCGGAUUUACUGGGCGUAAAGAGUGUCGUAGGUGGUUUGGUAAGUGAUUGGUGAAAUCCUCUGGCUCAACCAGGGAACUGCCAGUCAUACUGCCAAACUAGAGUGAUUUCGGGAAGGCUGGAAUUAUCGGUGUAGGGGUGAAAUCCGUUGAUAUCGAUAAGAACACCAAGGGCGAAGGCAGGCCUUUAGGAAUCCACUGACACUGAUGAACGAAAGCUUGGGUAGCAAAAGGGAUUAGAUACCCCUNUANUC